AAAGCAGGCUCCAGGCUCUGAGCUGUUAGCACAGAGCCUGACACUGGGCUCGGACCCAUGAACCGUGCUAUGACCUGGGCCGAAGUCCGACGCUUAUCUGACUGAACCACCCAGGAGCCCUCCUUUUAUAAGUGACACAAGAGCCUUCCUCUGGCUGUCCUAGCCCUCCCUUAAAGGGCUGGUGAGUUUUUGUGAACUAGACCUCAGCUGCAGUGUUUUGUUUUCUCCUUACUUAGCUAGAAAGGCCCACAAAGCUAGUUAAGGGUUUUAUCCAGGAGUUCCUCGAAAGCUUAGUAGCAUUAAACUCGGUUGACUCAAACAUUGCUUUCUUUGCUCUUUGCUGGAAAACUUCGAAGAACAGUGGCCAGUGUAUGCCAUUGGGGCCCUGGGACUACUGAUGGCUCUACAGAAAAUUCUGGAAGUUUCCAGCAAAUGAUGUGAAAAUCUUAAAAAGCCACCCUCUUUGGGAGUUAGGCUUAAUUCAGCCUUUGUGCUCUGACUUUGGUACAUUGUGGAGCAAAUGCAGAAGGGAUAGGUUAUGUUGGUUUUUAAGAAGAGCGAAUACAUUGUCCUCCAGGGAGUGAGUUGAAACCACAUUAAAGUAACCUCAGACCGGACUUAAUACAGUAUCUCAGGAAGAUGCGUGUUGCUUUGAUUCAUCUAACCCUCCACAGGGUGUCUUGAGAUGGUGGCACUUAAUUUAGUGGAAUGAGUUGUGUUGAUGAGAAGAACUCAGACGGAUUAAGUGAUAUUGACGUUUGCUUCUUUCAAAAAUGAAAUCAGCUGUAAUUCUGAUAUACAAUGACUGCUUAUAAAGUGAAAUAAAAUAGCUAAUUAUG